rnacentral:rRNA from 1 species
AUUGAACGCUGGCGGCAGGCUUAACACAUGCAAGUCGAGCGGAGAUGAGGUGCUUGCACCUUAUCUUAGCGGCGGACGGGUGAGUAAUGCUUAGGAAUCUGCCUAUUAGUGGGGGACAACAUUCCGAAAGGAAUGCUAAUACCGCAUACGUUCUACGGGAGAAAGCAGGGGAUCUUCGGACCUUGCGCUAAUAGAUGAGCCUAAGUCGGAUUAGCUAGUUGGUGGGGUAAAGGCCUACCAAGGCGACGAUCUGUAGCGGGUCUGAGAGGAUGAUCCGCCACACUGGGACUGAGACACGGCCCAGACUCCUACGGGAGGCAGCAGUGGGGAAUAUUGGACAAUGGGGGGAACCCUGAUCCAGCCAUGCCGCGUGUGUGAAGAAGGCCUUAAGGUUGUAAAGCACUUUAAGCGAGGAGGAGGCUACUGAGACUAAUACUCUUGGAUAGUGGACGUUACUCGCAGAAUAAGCACCGGCUAACUCUGUGCCAGCCGCCGCCGUAACAC